rnacentral:rRNA from 1 species
UCUAAACGACUCUCGGCAACGGAUAUCUCGGCUCUCGCAUCGAUGAAGAACGUAGCGAAAUGCGAUACUUGGUGUGAAUUGCAGAAUCCCGUGAACCAUCGAGUCUUUGAACGCAAGUUGCGCCCGAAGCCUUCUGGCCGAGGGCACGUCUGCCUGGGCGUCA